UUUUUUUUUUUUUCUAUUACUGACUUUCUUUCUAGGCACCGGCAGUUUUCUGAUUAUAGUUCAUCUCUAAAGCGUAUUCAUCUUUGAAGCUAGGUUUGGUAACCAAGACUGAAUAUCCUUUUUAGGUUUCUUAAGUUUUAUUUAUGUUCUAGAUGUUUUAGACAUUCUAUUUUAACAAACUGGUACGUUUGUUUAUGUUCUGUGAGAUUUUGGAACUGUGUUAGAGAGAUAGUGAGAUUGUUGGUGUAUUCUCGCUUGGUUGCAAAUCCUCCUGGAUACCUUUGUUGACUUAGGAAUUAGAAUUGGAAAAUUAAAUAAUUUAAUUGUUGCUAUAGAUGCAUUACAUUUUGAUGUAGGCAAUUUCAUUUUCUCAUAUUUUGGUUCAUAGAUUUGUUGUUCGUUCCAUCAAAAGAGGUUUAUUAGGCCUUGAAUUCAUAUCAGUUGCCAGUGUAGUUUUCUGUUUUUCCAUCAGGCGAACCUGUUUGGGCUAUUCCUAUUGGUGAUCACAACUGAGUCAUUGAUCCCAUGAAGUACUACUAGAAGGAUAUUCAAAAAUGACGAUUUACGAUGGUUUCGUGGGCUAUGGUAAAUCUAAAUGUCCGAAAAGUUUCUUUUCAGAACUACCGGUGCUCUUUUUCAUGUCAGAGCCCUAAAUGACUGGUGGGGUCUUUGGAGAAUAUUGUGUUGGACCAAAAUAGGUGCAAAGAUUGACAACGAAGUGGAUCAUUUCUAAUCAGGGGCAAAACUGUAUUAUCUGACCUGGAAAGGUAGAAGAUUAAUUGGAAAUUUGAAAGGACUCUUCAAUAUCUUAUUUCCAUGUAUGAUCCUAUUAAAUCUACAUGUUGGAUCAUGCAUUUGGUUGGGAUCUUUGGAGGAAAGGAAUUUUAAUAGUAGAUGACCUUUUGGUCUCCCUGACACCAUUCUUUUAUCAUGUUUGUAAGCAGAACAAUCUCAGAUGAGAUCAGAUAUAACACAAAGGUUAGAUUGCGCUUCUGAUCUUUAUCCCUAACAAUGGCCAUGAUUCAAGCAUUGCUGUUGGUAACCUCAAUUUCCAUGAUUCUAGCAUUGCUGUUGGUAACCUCAAUUUGUGUUACAAUUUUAUGAGAGAAUUUUAACUUAUAAUGUCUGAUAUAUGUGCUUGUUUCCCUGCAAAAGAAAAAGGUAAUAACUCGUCUUUUGGGCUUCAUAAUAUGAUCACUUGCGUCAUUUCAGAAUAUUUUUUGGAAACAAAAUAUAAAGGAAAGAAGUAUGCCUGGGUCCCAUGUGUUUCUAAAUUCAACCUUUUACAACUCCUUGUUUCUGAAACAUGCUACUAUAGGACAGAAAACUUACCCUUCUGGAUAUUGGCUAGCUCUUGUUUGUUAUUCAUAUUUAUUGUUUACUUUCAGUAGUAUCCUUUGCUUAAAGACACGGUUUCUGGGCGAGACAGGGUAAGAAGGAAGAGACGGAAGAAGGUGAUGCACUCUGACAUUGGUUGUGAAGUCAACAGAAGCAAACAUAAAUUCUUCUAUUUUUUUAUCCUUCGACUGUUACAAUAAUUUGUGAAUGUCCUGAGUCUCUGUGAGUUGUCAGAAUUUGUAAAAAGGUCCUCUACUGAGCUUUUUUUUUUUAACCUUCCUAGGAAAGAAAUUGAUAUGAUGUCAGUUCUGUCACCAUAUUUCUGAAACCUUCUUAAGUCAUUUCCUUGAGCAUGAAAAAGAUCUCCUUUGCCUCAACCAUGUCGUGGCUAUGCUCCCAAUAUUAACUGCUUGUUUCUAUUUUGUCAGUGGGAGUUCAAAAGAGAUGAAUAAUAUUACUUUGCUUUAUGUGCUUUAUAAUUUCAGGUGAAAGAUUUAGGAAGAAAGGCUUCUGAUUUUAUUAAGGUGGGACUACGAUGUACAGCACCAUGCGGGGGGAAAAAACUUUUUCUUACCUCCACGAGCAAGUCAUGAUUUUAUGUCAAAUCUGCCUAAAUAUCGAACUGAUAAGUUGGCCUCCUCUAUUUGUUUUUUGUUUUUAACCUGGUAGAUUGAUAUUUCAAUCUUAAGUUGAUUAGAUUUGCAUUAGAUCUGGUGACAUAGUGGGAAAGAUGCAAGGGGGGGCCAUGCUCCAUGAACUUGCAAACUUGUUGGCAUGAGGGUAGGUUUUUACCUGUGAUACAAAAGCUUGUCAAAUCCAACUAAAAUGAUUGGUAUAUCCACCGGUCGAUGUUCAGACAUGUUCAUACUAACCCUUUUCACUAAAUACACUGUAUGGAGAGAUUCUAUAAUCAGCGGUACAACGAAUCAAACCUGAUGAAAACCUUCUGUCUUCUGGUAUGUUUCUAUCAAACGUUUCUAAGUUUUCUAUUCCUGCUGUUAAAAAAAAACAUACCUGGAAAACUUGCUUCUGGAUUUGGUAGUUGUUAAAAUAGUAAAAAAGGAGUCAAAUUCUUCUGCCUUUUUGUCAAAGUAAAUCAUCCUCGGUAAAAUUACAUUUUCAAAAAGGAGUGAAACUAUAGAUAAAUUAUCAUAUAAACUUUCUGUUAUUCUUUAUCAUCGUUAGAGACAUGGUUUUACAAGAAUAAAUUAAAACUAAAGAAAUGAAGGCCAAAAAUGUAAUUUAUUCACAAUCACAAUCUUUGACAGAUUGGUAGAUCAUAUGAUGCAAAUGCAAAAAGUGAGCAUUUUUUUUAUCAGAUUCUAGGACCUGCUUAAAUUUUGUGCUGACUUUUGUUUUUAGGAACCAAACAUGAAACUAAAAUCCGAAAGUCUUGUCAGUGACAUGAGGGAAAACAAUUCUGUUGUAGACAGACUGUGCCACAUAUUUAUCCUUCUCUUGACCUUUUCCUUUUGACCAACAUCCCAAACGACCUAUAUAUGCACUGAACAUGUGUUAUGAAUCUCUUUGUCUAAAUGCAGCAGCCCUCAUUCAUUAUGAUUUGUACAUGUGAAAGCAAAGCAAGUAGCCCUCCUUCAUUGUGAUCUGAUUAUGCAAUGAACAUUAAUAUGUUUGUCUAAAUGAUUUUUAACUUUCAUUUCUGGAUUGAACCCUACUUUUAAAGCAGAGAGAUCAGUUUUUCUCUUGCCUUUGAACUCUUCUUUCCUGUUGAUGUGAGGCUGGUUUUACAGGCUGAUUGAUUAUCAUUGAAGAACAUUGCUGCCUGUGUUGUUUGGACAGUGGAUAGAGAUUGAGACCUUAGACUCACUUUGAACCUUUCUGUACCAUGAUUUCAGUCUAUUUUGAGGCCCCUGUAUGUCUUGAGCUCACCAAGACACAAUUUUAGUACUUUAGCAAUAGCUUGAAAUCAUUGUAUUGAGCUAAUAUUCAGUUACAUUACCAACUUGUGAAAUAUUGUAGGCUCUACGAAACUAAAUUGUUAGUUGAAUGUUGAUAUGCAAUGAUAUUGAUGAUAGUAUUAUAACUUCCUUGGGGUGAGGGUGACCCUAGUGGUUAGGACUUCAGAUGUCUGGAGAUACCUUUGACUUAUUCUUAAAGGAAAAAGUACGGCCGCAACAUAUGUACCCGGCAACAAAAUUGGAAAAUAUUUUUUGACCGAAGCUCUCAUAUAUGUUAGUUUGAGCUAAAAUCUACCAAGCAACGAUGUGGUAAGUUGAUCAACGUCACAUAAAACUCCAAAAAUGACAUUCUUUGAUCGAUGAAAAUCGAUAUGUCAAACUUCUACCUGGUUUGAACCCAAAAUCGGUGUCAGUAUCAAUGAAGUUAAAAGAAAUUAAAAACAAGACGAAAAUUAUUGAACUAAUGAUAAAAAUGUUGACGACUAUUCUUAAUUCAUACGUUUCACCCUCUUCUUCAAGUAUAACAAGUGCAUAUUUGUAGGAUUGAACUCGAUUCUAGUUCUUAACUUGUUCAUCUUCUUGGCUUGGUACUAGUUCUUAACUUGUUGAUCUUAUUGGUUCAAUAAUUGGCUUGUUGAUUUUAUUCAAUUGAUCUUAUUCAGCUUGUUGAUUGCUCUUGUAUUGAUCUCGGUUUCUUGAUCUUCUUGAGAAAUUGAUCAAAAUCUUGAAUUCUUACGCACUUAAUAGUGUUUAAGAUCAUGUCUUCAACGUUGUUGUGUUUUCAAAUUCUUUGGUCUUCACGUUCUUAAUUUUCUUGGAGUCUUCUGAAUUCUCUAAUUUCUCAAUCUUCUUGGACUAUUCAUUGAGCCUUUCUAUGGGCAUUGUAUGCGUUUGGACUGCUUUGGGUUUUGGGCCAAAUCGUCGUUUAAUGACCUAACUUUUUACGACUGUUGGUGACCGUAAAAUUCUAAGAAAUUGGUAGAAAGCAUGAGUUUUCUCUUCUAAAAUUUUGUCAUUUCGAGCAAUAUAAUGCCAUGUAAGGAUUCAUUAUCCUACCAACAGGGAUAUGAAGAUCUUCUGGAAGGGUGGAAGAAGCUUGAAGAAGAAGAAGAAAUCUCGAUUGAUGUGAACAGGGUCAUUGAUUGCAUUUCUUCAAGGGUUACUUCAGAAAUGAUAUCAAGAGGAGGUGGAAAUAGCAAAAAACAAUGGAUUCUCAACUUUGUUCUACCAAAUACUUUGAAGAAUUGCCUUGAAACAAGACUGGUAUUGUGUUGAUCCCAAGGUAUCAAAAUUCAGAUUUUAUGUAGGGAAGCUCUGAUGAGAUGGCGGCAGAUCCCAUCCAUAAUAACACCUUCAUUGCAAUGGGAUGCUCACAAACCAACUCAGAUUCUGAAUAAGGAAGAUGUUGAGAUCAUAAUGUCUUAUAACUCCUAUUGUAUUUGGCAUUUUGAUAAGCAGGUGACCUAGUGUUAGCUGAUAUUCAAGUCCUUCCAGUUAUAGCAAUGGUGACAGAAAGUUUGGAAAACAAAAUCCCCACAAAACUCAUCUUUUUGUUUGGCAAUGUUUCUUUGUUUGUUUGGCUUCGAAGUCGUAGAACUUGUACUGUAACUUUCUUUAGUUACAGUACGAGCGCCUUUGAAUACGAGCGCCUUUGAAUUAACUUAAAGGUUAGGCACUUUGUGGAUACAGGAGAAGGAUACUUUCCUGUUAUAUUAAUGGUUUCUGUUGAAAAAGAAGGAAUAGUUGGUUCAUGCUUUGUUCCUUGAAAGGGAGGAAAACAAAUAUGAAGGAAUAUUC